rnacentral:rRNA from 1 species
UGCGCAGGCGGCUUUGUAAGUCAGAUGUGAAAUCCCCGGGCUUAACCUGGGAAUUGCGUUUGAAACUACAAGGCUAGAGUGUAGCAGAGGGGGGUGGAAUUCCAUGUGUAGCAGUGAAAUGCGUAGAGAUAUGGAAGAACAUCGAUGGCGAAGGCAGCCCCCUGGGUUAACACUGACGCUCAUGCACGAAAGCGUGGGGAGCAAACA